GGAGGGGGAAGCUGCCAUGCUAGGCCGCUCCCAGGGUGACCUGCGGCGACAGGAGGAACAGCGCAGCCGCCUGAGCCGAGCCCGCCAGAAUCUCAGCCAGGUCCCCGAAGCCGACUCAGUCAGCUUCCUGCAGGAGCUGCUGGCACUAAGGCUGGCCCUGGAGGAUGGGUGUGGCCCUGUGCCUGGACCCCCGAGGGAGCUCAGCUUCACCAAAUCAUCCCAAGCUGUCCGUGCAGUGAGAGACAUGCUGGCCGUGGCCUGCGUCAACCAGUGGGAGCAGCUGAGGGGGCCGGGUGGCAACGAGGACGGGCCACAGAAGCUGGACUCAGAAGGUGGGCACCGCCCCACGCCCCCCCGAUGACUCACCCUCUCCCAGCCUCUCGCACAGGCCC
rnacentral:sRNA from 1 species